GUCCAUUUUAAUGUUUGGUCAAAAAAAUGCAAACAACUCUUGAUCAUGUCUGCGUGCUUUAUAUAUUGAGUUACAGCUAAGUUUAUAAUAUACAAACAUACAAUGUGCAAAGGGAUCUGUUUACAUUAGUGUGCUUUAGAGCUUUUAAAAACAAAACAGAACCACCUAAUUCAAAAGAAGAAUUCACAAAACCAUUCUCUUAAAGCAGACUUGAAUUCAUCCAAUAAGCUCCAAUAAAAAAAUAUUUAUACGAGCCAAGUGUAGCAGAGGGCAGAGUGACAGUGUAAUGAGUCUCAUUAGAUGUUUUCAUGUUCUGGUAAUGAACUAAAGGGAGCUGAGUUUUAUUUCAGGGGUAUAGUCCUGAUCCUUUUGUUGGAGAAGUAUCGUCACAAACUCCAUGAGAACUUGCCAUUUUUACCUUAUCCUGUUAUUAGUUAUACUUGCUGGAAUAAUGCAAGAGGAGCUUACAUUGAAAUCAAGAUUUAUCUUUGCUGGCACAAUAAACAAACAGAGAUUAUACAGAGACUAACACUGCAUUAACUGUAAUAAAGUGUUAAGUGGAACCACAGAGUCAGUUAAACAGAGACACAUACAACUAAGGAUACACUGUUCAUUUUAGUCAACCGUAUACAAAUAUUAGAUAUUCACUUACUGUUAGAGUUUUCAGUUACUCUAAAUGUAUGAUAAUAACUGAUGGCUUUGUUGCUUUGUUUGUCAAAUGUAUAAAGAUGUGUGUAGUAAAAUAGCUAUGUCUACACCAGUGGCCACAUUAGGUACACAUAAUAAAUGGGUAUACUUUGGACAGAAAAGGAAGUCAUACAUUUUUAGAUUGGCACUAGUGCUGAAAAUAUAACAAAUAGUGUUUGGAAAAUAUUUAAUAUACCAUUAAAUCGACAUUUACCGUUGAUCCAAGAAAGUGAGAAUCUGUGGUUUCAUGGAGUUUUGACCAAUAUCUGGCCAUACCAUUUUCAUUAUAUUGAGAAUUCAGAGCAGAUUAUGCUUUUACAUUCCUCC